AUGCUAGGUAUGAAUAUAGAGAAGUCAACAAUCAACUAUGUAAUUGCUACACCAAACUUAAAAUUGGAAAGAUUUUCAAAAUAAAGGAAAGCACCCCUAUAAUCUCUCAUUUGCUUCCUCAAAACACUAUAACCUGUCAAAAAAAAUUCAAAUAAAAAUCAAGUAAUAUUACAAAUUAAUUACAUUUGCCAAAAUUACUCGAUUACUUUUCCAUUCUAAACCUAAUAUUAUACGAGUCUGUACAAUUUAUACAAGUCUAUACAAUUUUAAGAAAAGCUCCACCACCGUUUUUCUGGAAAUCGAGCAGAUACAUCUUAUAUAACUGGUCAUUGCAAUCAUUCGAUAACUACCAUCUACUUUCAAAACAUUAGGCUUAAGUUCAUCACAGCAUACAAUAACCACCAACAUAAGAUAAAAUCAAGCAAAAAUGCAGAUGUAAUCUGAACAGAACCAGAAACUCAAUUGUCAAAGCGAAGAAACGUUGGUGUUUACAUGUAAUGAUCAACAGUUUCAGCAUCAAGUGCUUCUCAGCAAGAGCCAAACCAACAACAUUGGCCAUUCCUGACCAAGUGGCCCUACAUUAUUGGGAAUGCAAUGAAAUAAAAUUCCUGAGCUUUAACUACUUCAUCACUGUGAUCAUGGAAGAAAAUUUUCUAUUUGGGGAUAAAUAAGGGUGUUUCUGGAGAUUAUCACGUCUGACCCAAUUAGGUGGUGUGUUUUGCCAUUGUCUUUUGACGAUCUCAAUGCGACCACUGCUUGAAACAUCAAAUCAUGCAAUAAAUAAUAAGACAUGUGAUAGCCAAUUCCAUGUAAGAUAACAUUAACUAUAUUAAUUGUGAUUAGUCGUAAUGACACAGCUUUAGGAUUUUGUAUAAGCACGCACGCAUCGCGUGCAUAUAAGACUAGUAUUAAGUAGUGAAUCAUGGCAAGAUUCUAAUAUUAU